UACGUAGGGAGCAAGCGUUGUCCGGAAUUACUGGGCGUAAAGGGCGUGUAGGCGGGAAUUUAAGUAAGGUGUGAAAACUCCGGGCUCAACCUGGAGACUGCACUUUAAACUGGAUUUCUUGAGGGCAGGAGAGGAAAGUGGAAUUCCUAGUGUAGCGGUGAAAUGCGUAGAUAUUAGGAGGAACACCAGUGGCGAAGGCGACUUUCUGGACUGUACCUGACGCUGAGGCGCGAAAGCGUGGGUAGCGAAC
rnacentral:rRNA from 1 species